GUUGUGUACAGACUUAAUUACUUCUCUGUCUACUUUUCUUACUCCAUGUAGGUUUCCCAGAGACUAUGGGUUGAGGAGGAAUUGGAAGUUUGUCGGCUUAGACCUGGUGUCAUUCCAUCAGUGUUAAACUUCCCGGCUCAUCUUGGAAGAGUACGUGCCAGAAAGACCACGACCAAGCAGCCUUGAGAUCUUAGGCAGCGUCUCCCUGAGACCAAAGAACUACAGACUCUUCACAACCUGCUCAAACUCUUGGUACAGGACCUCACCACACGGGUCAAGAAGGUUUCCGUCUCAUUUCUACUCUGAAGCUCA
ensembl:lncRNA